GACGAACGCUGGCGGCGUGCCUAAUACAUGCAAGUCGAGCGAAUCAAUGGGAGCUUGCUCCCUGAGAUUAGCGGCGGACGGGUGAGUAACACGUGGGUAACCUGCCUGUAAGACUGGGAUAACUUCGGGAAACCGGAGCUAAUACCGGAUAGUUUCUUUUCUUGCAUGAGAGAAGAUGGAAAGAUGGUUUCGGCUAUCACUUACAGAUGGACCCGCGGCGCAUUAGCUAGUUGGUGAGGUAACGGCUCACCAAGGCGACGAUGCGUAGCCGACCUGGACGGGUGAUCGGCAACACGGGGACUGAGACACGGCCCAGACUCCUACGGGAGUCAGCAGUAGGGAAUCUUCCGCAAUGGACGAAAGUCUGACGGAGCAACGCCGCGUGAGCGAGGAAGGCCUUCGGGUCGUAAAGCUCUGUUGUUAGGGAAGAACAAGUACGAGAGUAACUGCUCGUACCUUGACGGUACCUAACCAGAAAGCCACGGCUAACUACGUGCCAGCCGCCGCGGUAAGAC
rnacentral:rRNA from 1 species